rnacentral:rRNA from 1 species
AGCUCCAAUAGCGUAUAUUAAAGUUGCUGCAGUUAAAAAGCUCGUAGUUGCAUUUCCGAGGCAAGGGAUUAGUCCGACCUUUGGUGGGUAUUUAAUCCUCUUGCCUCGUCCUUGAGUGGUGCUUCUUGGUAUUAAGUUAUCGAGGCGAUAGCCGCUCAUCGUUUACUGUGAGAAAAUUAGAGUGUUCAAAGCAGGCUUAUGCCGUUGAAUAUAUUAGCAUGGAAUAAUAAGAUAGGACCUCGGUACUAUUUUGUUGUUUUGAGAACCAAGGUAAUGAUGAAUAGGGACAGUUGGGGGUAUUCGUAUUCAGUUGUCAGAGGUGAAAUUCUUAGAUUUACGGAAGACGAACUACUGCGAAAGCAUUUACCAAGGAUGUUUUCA